UUUUUUUUAACUUAUUUAUUUUCUGUAUGUUUGGCCAUGUUUCUUUGUGUGCAUAUGUAUGUCUGCUUUCCUCCGAACAUAAGCAGGUCUGACGAGGUGACCACUCUUUUCCUGGAGGAACUGUUGCUGCAGAAACUCAAAGUGCUGCCUUCCUGUUCCGUCUGGGAAAUCCAAGGGUGGUCAUCUUGUUGAAGGUAAGAUGAACUUUUCAUUGUGGUAACGUUAUGUUUUCACCAAAGUAACCACAAGAAAGCAUGUAAGAAACCAGGUCCUGCAUUCUGAUAACUUCAUCCAUAUUCAGUUUAAAACAGAUUUUCUAAUGCUGCACCUCACCUUCACUGUUUUUAAGUCGAGUAUUUUCUGCAUUUGCAUGUGUGUCUCUCUCCUUUUCCCCAACCAUCACAGAAGUGAGCAUCUUCAGUGUUGAACCUGGCAACCACCAAUGUCUUGAGGAAGGAUCUAGAUCACCUCUAAGAGACGAAGUCAGGCAUCCUUGUGCUGCAGGUAAGCUGUGAUGGAGAACACCACUUAACACACUGUCCUUUUGUCACCCAAAUGUCUGAAUGCUUCAACUCCAGAAACAACUUUUCUCUGGUUAUUAAAUCGUUUUCACAAAGGCGCAAUGCGACGUGGGUGUGCCUUAGCUGUUCUACCAAAGUUAAGGCCCACCUAAGCUCGAUCUAUGCCUGUUUUUAUGUUGAUAACAUGUAAGGCUGGGUCAGUGUUUCCAAUGUCGUGACUAUAACCUCUCUUCGAAAACCAGUAGGUGAUGCAACAGCUGUGUAUUUUGUGAGUACUUUGUUGUUUGCAGGUGACUCAAGGAUGUGGAUGCAGGAGAAUAUUAGCUCUUAAGUGAUGCUGCAGCCUUUUCUGAUGUUUAACUGUACAGAUUUGUGUGUUUCUGUCUGUAACAAUCAUACUCAUUUUCUGUGCCUGUAAAGACAUAGUUUUAUAUGUUAUUUUUCAGAAACAAGUCCUGAUGUCCUCUAGAAAAGAGCCCAGCUGGAGAAGUGUGUCCGACGUCCCAGUCGAACGAUAAAAACAUUUCAGCCAUAAGGUGGGUUAUUUUAUUAAAAAGGUAGGUGAAUGUCUCUAUUGAAACACAACAGCUGAAACAGUCAUAAUACUCUGAUGCAAAGAUGCAACACCACAAGGUUCAACGAUCAAAAACACAACAAUCAAACCAAAAACAAGGUUUAAAAAGUGUUUUCAGCCACACAACCAUAAACCAACAAGGUUCACAACGAUGCGUUCAAAGACAAUAUGGAAACAGACAACAAGGUUCAUGUGGUGCUUUCAGGGACAUGAUGGUAACACAAACAAGGUUUAAAUGGUGCUUUCAAUGACAAAAGGACAAAUCAACAAGGUUUAAAUGGUGCUCACAGGGACACAAUGGUAAUACAAGGUUUA